GAUGAACGCUGGCGGCGUGCCUAAUACAUGCAAGUAGAACGCUGAAGGAGGAGCUUGCUCUUCUGGAUGAGUUGCGAACGGGUGAGUAACGCGUAGGUAACCUGCCUGGUAGCGGGGGAUAACUAUUGGAAACGAUAGCUAAUACCGCAUGACAACAGUUAUUGCAUGAUAACUGUUUAAAAGGGGCAACUGCUCCACUACCAGAUGGACCUGCGUUGUAUUAGCUAGUUGGUGCGGUAACGGCUCACCAAGGCGACGAUACAUAGCCGACCUGAGAGGGUGGUCGGCCACACUGGGACUGAGACAAGGCCCAGACUCCCACGGGGAGCAGCAGGAGGGAAACUUCGGCAAUGGACGGAAGUCUGACCGAGCAACGCCGCGUGGGUGAAGAAGGGUUUCGGAUCGUAAAGCUCUGUUGUAAGAGAAGAACGAGUGUGAGAGUGGAAAGUUCACACUGUGACGGUAUCUUACCAGAAAGGGACGGCUAACUACGUG
rnacentral:rRNA from 1 species